GAUGAACGCUGGCGGCGUGCCUAAUACAUGCAAGUCGAGCGAACAGAUGAGGAGCUUGCUCCUCUGACGUUAGCGGCGGACGGGUGAGUAACACGUGGAUAACCUACCUAUAAGACUGGGAUAACUUCGGGAAACCGGAGCUAAUACCGGAUAAUAUAUUGAACCGCAUGGUUCAAUAGUGAAAGACGGUUUUGCUGUCACUUAUAGAUGGAUCCGCGCCGCAUUAGCUAGUUGGUAAGGUAACGGCUUACCAAGGCAACGAUGCGUAGCCGACCUGAGAGGGUGAUCGGCCACACUGGAGCUGAGACACGGUCCAGACUCCUACGGGAGGCAGCAGUAGGGAAUCUUCCGCAAUGGGCGAAAGCCUGACGGAGCAAGGCCGCGUGAGUGAUGAAGGUCUUCGGAUCGUAAAGCUCUGUUAUUAGGGAAGAACAAAUGUGUAAGUAACUAUGCACGUCUUGACGGUACCUACUCAGAAAGCCCCGGCUAACUACGUG
rnacentral:rRNA from 1 species